AUCUGACCCCAUUCUGCAAGUAGCUGGCCCACUAUUCAAGACAAGGUGUUAAGCCACUUCCCAGGCCAGCACGGAGCCACCAAUACUACAUAAAUGCCCACUGUUUCUUUUGCUGUAUUUUGUUUGGUUGUUUGUUACUUCCUCUCUAGUCCCCCACCUACAGGAUUCUAGCGUGGAGUCUGUUUACAACGGGUCAGGAUUGAAGAUUGAUCUUUAUAGUGCAAGUGCUCAGGUCUAGCUCAGAUCCUUGAUAGCUUGAUCUUUCUUGUAAAUGAAAAUGACAUUUCUGUGUCUAGAGAAUUCAUUAUGAUCCAGGCCAUCCCAAUACAGUUGAGCUGAAAGGAUCCUGUCCUCAUGUUCUGACUUAGAUUUGAUUGCUCUAAACAAGACUUAAGAUGCGUGUUAAAAUCACUCACCAUUCAUUAUAUAGUGCCUUAAUAGUGCUUUGGUAGAUGAGUAGGUGGAGUAUUUGAUGUUGCAAGAAUGAUAUGAAAAAGGAGGGAGUGCCUUGUAAGAGUGAGAUCUUCUCUUUUCCAUUAUUAAUAUAUAGUCUAUGUACUCGCAGUUAUUCAUUUAUAUUUCUUUCUGUAGUAGAUUUUACUUCUUUCUGUAACGAUUUGUUUUUUUCGCAGGGUGUUUAUCUUAAUUGUGUCUGACUUGUGAUGGAAAGAGAAAUAGAGCCCAUCUGUACUGAAAAAGGAGGCCUGAAGAUCCAAAGAGAGAAAAGCUUCAGUAUCAGAGGGAGUUGUACGAGCUGGAGCAUUCCAUCGAUCAGAAGCGCCUUCAGUAGCCCCUGGACCAAUCAAUUCUUGUUUCUCCGCGGACUGUGGCAAGUCUUACGUGCGGUAACAGCAUAUGAGGGAGAGUUGUGUACGUGCUGGAGCAUUCUGUACUGGUAUAGCCAAUAACUCGCAAUUACGUUCGUCGAUCAGGUUGUUAUGCAGUUGGACAGUCCCAUCGACCGUGCUGCUGAAGUCAGCUGUAAUGUCAUGGCAUGAGAAGAACGUUUUCUUGACAGGACGUGUUUGUAGGAACAAUUUGUGAACCACAGCUUAAAUGCUAGGGCCCUGCUGCAGUUAACAAGGGCGAAGGGAAAGAGAGAUUUAAUAUAAAUGAAAUCGUAGCGAAUGGCCAGCAAUAACUCCUCCUCAACACACAUCCUGACAAGUCCAUUGCUCCUCAGUAACACAGAGAGAGGGGGAAGAAGAUUAGAGGAAGACGCAGACUCAUCAAAGAAAGACCUAGCUGUGUGGCUGUGGGUGGGCCCAUGAUUGUAAAUGUGCGCUUGUCCCGUUGCUCCAGCCUCCAGCCAGCCAGCAGGGAGGCCAGGUGCUUGAUCAUUGCGCCGGGUCCAUCCGUCCGUCCACGCGUUCCCGGGGAUCGAUGCAACGUGACAGUGGUGAGUACGUGUGCGCGUGGGAUGGCGCAGCAGCCCUUAAGUUGUACUCCCUCCGUCCCGUAAUGUAACACGUUUUUUUGACUUCGUGGCUUGAUGAGAUGAGAAGAAGGUGCUGCCGCCUGCCGGUGGAUCUCGCAGAGUCGUGCGGGGCUGAGGUGGUGGUCAUGAAAGGUGUACUUUCGUCGCCGGCCGAGGCGAAUUCCAAUUCCAAUGGCUCAAGGCGGCGACGGGUCCAGACGCCCAGCGGCGUGGAAGAGAGAGCAGCCUUUCGAUGGUGUGAUUCGUCCCUUUCUUCGUUCGUUUCUGCUCCUUGUUCUGUAUUUUCCCACGGAUGGUUUCCCGACGACGAGUUGCGCCUCCAUGCAGGCACGGUGUGUGACCGGGUCUGGGCCCGAUACCGACCUCUGCUUGCCGUGCUCCAUGGGGGUAGAGUAGAGGCUCUUCCAUGUUGGAAGAAUGGAAGAUUACGUACGGGCUGAGCGGUUGCAUUAAUCUCAUGUAUGUAUCGGUACCACUAGUGCUUUCUCCGUGCAUUUACGAGACAUUUGACCUUCCGGUGGAUUGACAUGGGCAUUGAUCAAGUCAGGUGGAUUGACCUGUGUUGAUCAUUCAUUCAUGUUGCCACUGAGCCACUGAUCAUGUGAGAGGGAUAUCACUUGACCUCUUCCAGGUGAAUCCAUUCAAUUGAGAAAGGCACUAGUCCAGCAUAGUA